rnacentral:rRNA from 1 species
UACGAAGGGUGCAAGCGUUACUCGGAAUUACUGGGCGUAAAGCGUGCGUAGGCGGGUCUUUAAGUCAGGGGUGAAAUCCUGGAGCUCAACUCCAGAACUGCCUUUGAUACUGAAGAUCUUGAGUUCGGGAGAGGUGAGUGGAACUGCGAGUGUAGAGGUGAAAUUCGUAGAUAUUCGCAAGAACACCAGUGGCGAAGGCGGCUCACUGGCCCGAUACUGACGCUGAGGCACGAAAGCGUGGGGAGCAAACAGG